rnacentral:rRNA from 1 species
GACGAACGCUGGCGGCGUGCUUAACACAUGCAAGUCGAACGGAAAGGCCCUGCUUUUGUGGGGUGCUCGAGUGGCGAACGGGUGAGUAACACGUGAGUAACCUGCCCUUGACUUUGGGAUAACUUCAGGAAACUGGGGCUAAUACCGGAUAGGAGCUCCUGCUGCAUGGUGGGGGUUGGAAAGUUUCGGCGGUUGGGGAUGGACUCGCGGCUUAUCAGCUUGUUGGUGGGGUAGUGGCUUACCAAGGCUUUGACGGGUAGCCGGCCUGGGAGGGUGACCGGCCACAUUGGGACUGAGAUACGGCCCAGACUCCUACGGGAGGCAGCAGUGGGGAAUAUUGCACAAUGGGAGGAAGCCUGAUGCAGCAACGCCGCGUGCGGGAUGACGGCCUUCGGGUUGUAAACCGCUUUCGCCUGUGACGAAGCGUGAGUGACGGUAAUGGGUAAAGAAGCACCGGCUAACUACGUG